AGUGAACGCUGGCGGUAGGCCUAACACAUGCAAGUCGAACGGCAGCACAGUAAGAGCUUGCUCUUACGGGUGGCGAGUGGCGGACGGGUGAGGAAUACAUCGGAAUCUACUUUUUCGUGGGGGAUAACGUAGGGAAACUUACGCUAAUACCGCAUACGACCUACGGGUGAAAGCAGGGGAUCUUCGGACCUUGCGCGAUUGAAUGAGCCGAUGUCGGAUUAGCUAGUUGGCGGGGUAAAGGCCCACCAAGGCGACGAUCCGUAGCUGGUCUGAGAGGAUGAUCAGCCACCCUGGAACUGAGACACGGUCCAGACUCCUACGGGAGGCAGCGGUGGGGAAUAUUGGACAAUGGGUGCAAGCCUGAUCCAGCCAUACCGCGUGGGUGAAGAAGGCCUUCGGGUUGUAAAGCCCUUUUGUUGGGAAAGAAAAGCAGCAGGUUAAUCCCCCGCUGUUCUGACGGUACCCAAAGAAUAAGCACCGGCUAACUUCGUG
rnacentral:rRNA from 1 species